rnacentral:lncRNA from 10 species
UCUUGAGGUUGGAACUUAAGCCUCAUCUACUGGGGAGGAUUCUUCUUGCUGACACAGACAUGUCACCUCCUGUCUGCAUGAGGUUCUCAGCUGCUCAGUUGUAUGCCCAGCUUCCCUGGAAAAGUCUGACCAACAGAGUGGUCAUAGGCCCAGCUGAACACUGGUCAACAAAAAUGUCCUGCCCAUGUCUGGUGCUAGGCCAAU